rnacentral:rRNA from 1 species
CACGUAGGGGCCGAGCGUUGUCCGGAUUCAUUGGGCGUAAAGAGCUCGUAGGCGGUUCAGUCAGUCGGGUGUGAAAUCUCUGGGCUCAACUCGGAGGGGCCACCCGAUACUGCUGUGACUUGAGUCCGGUAGGGGAGUGGGGAAUUCCUGGUGUAGCGGUGAAAUGCGCAGAUAUCAGGAGGAACACCGGUGGCGAAGGCGCCACUCUGGGCCGGAACUGACGCUGAGGAGCGAAAGCGUGGGUAGCAAACAGG